UACGAAGGGGGCUAGCGUUGUUCGGAAUUACUGGGCGUAAAGCGCGUGUAGGCGGGCCGUUAAGUUGGGGGUGAAAGCCCAGAGCUCAACUCUGGAAUUGCCUUCGAUACUGGCGGCCUGGAGCAUGAUAGAGGCGAGUGGAAUUGCGAGUGUAGAGGUGAAAUUCGUAGAGAUUCGCAGGAACAACAGUGGCGAAGGCGACUCGCUGGAUCAUUGCUGACGAUGAGACGCGAAAGAGUGGGGAGCAAACAGG
rnacentral:rRNA from 1 species